GGUUCAACCCCAGAUUCAAGGUGUCCAGUCUGAAGUUGUUCCUCUCGCACCUACAAACCAGUCCGUCCCCGGGGCACCUCCACAGUACGGAGUGUACUACCAACCAUCGCUCCCCCCUCAGAUUCCCACCCAGCAAGUGAUGAUCCCCCCAUCAUCUCAGUCAUCUGCCCCCCAACAACAACAACAACAACAACAACAACAGCAGCAGCAACAACAGCAACAG